CCUACGGGUGGCAGCAGUGGGGAAUAUUGGGCAAUGGAGGAAACUCUGACCCAGCAACGCCGCGUGAAGGAUGAAGGUUUUCUGAUUUGUAACUUCUGUUUCGAGGGAUGAAGAAUGACGGUACCUCGUGAGGAAGCCCCGGCAAACUACGUGCCAGCAGCUGAGGUAAUACGUAGGGGGCAAGCGUUGUCCGGAAUGACUGGGCGUAAAGGGAUUGUAGGCGGGCUUUUAAGUUCUAUGUGAAAGCCCCGGGCUUAAACGAGGAACUGCAUAUAAAACUGGAGGGCUGGAGUGCAGGAGAGGUAAGCGGAAUUUCUGGUGUAGCGGUGGAAUGCGUAGAUAUUAGGAAGAACACCGAAGGCGAAGGCAGCUUACUGGAGUGUAACUGACGCUGAGGCUCGAAAGCGUGGGGAGCAAACAGGAUUAGAUACCCCUGUAGUC
rnacentral:rRNA from 1 species